rnacentral:rRNA from 1 species
AUGAACGCUAGCGGCAGGCCUAACACAUGCAAGUCAGGGGCAGCACAGGUAGCAAUACUGGGUGGCGACCGGCGGAUGGGUGCGUAACGCGUAUGCAACCUACCAUUGAUUGGGGCAUAGCCCGAAGAAAUUCGGAUUAAUACUCCAUAAUAUUCAUCAAAGGCAUCUUUUAUGAAUUAAAGCUUUUGCGAUCAAUGAUGGGCAUGCGUGACAUUAGUUAGUUGGUGAGGUAACGGCUCACCAAAACGAUGAUGUCUAGGGGUUCUGAGAGGAUUAUCCCCCACACUGGUACUGAGACACGGACCAGACUCCUACGGGAGGCAGCAGUGAGGAAUAUUGGUCAGUGGACGCAAGUCUGAACCAGCCAUGCCGCGUGCAGGAUGACGGCCCUAUGGGUUGUAAACUGCUUUUCCACGGGAAGAACCCUCCGACGUGUCGGAGACUGACGGUACCGUGGGAAUAAGCAUCGGCUAACUCCGUG